AUGUUUCUUCCCCUGCCGCGGCUUGUUUUCUUCAAGGGCCAAGGCCAGCCGGCUGAGCUGUCUUCCUUUUGCCCUCCUUCUCUCUCUUGCACGUGGCCCAGCUUGCGCUGGUGUCUAGAAAAGUCUGCACGACAGAGCUGACUCUCAGGGAGCUUGCAUUUCAAAAAAAAAAAUCGCUGUUGGGAGACAGACAGGGUGCUGCAUUGCCAAUUCAGGGCAAGCCCACCUUGAGGAGGAAGGCGGGAUGGGGGUGGUACACACCUCAGAGUUCUGGCCAGAAUUCUUGUUUUGCUGCCGCUGGGUUUUUCCCUAAGCAGAACAGGUUUUUCUCAGGCCAGCCAGGCUGCCAUGAACUUCUGGUGCCUUCAAGCAGUAAACACCGCCAGCCACGGGUUUCAAUCUGCACUCUGGCGCCUCUUCCUCGUUUUCUUUCAAACUGCGGGUUUGAAAAAUUGGAACGCUCGGACUGGAGAGGAGGCUCGGAAUUAAGAGCACUCGCUGCUCUUGCAAAGAACUCGAUCCUGGGAUGUGCUGAGAUCUCCACUGGUGCCUACAAAGAAACACAAAUUCAUCAUAUCACAGUUGCAGCUGGCUUACAAAACCAGAGAUGCUGUUUCUCCAUCUUCUAAGGACCCCUAUGCUCAAGGGAACAGGUCAUUCAGCUCACCUCGUUGUCCUGAAGUGCCACUGAGCAGCAGUGCCACGCAGUAUGCUAGAAAAUGACCCAUUCUAGAAUACAGACCUCCCUUGGAGACUGUGGGUUCAGGUACAGAUGUCUCACAUACGACAGAUACUGCAAUAAAGCGAGCGAAGGAGGAAGGAGAUAGAUUUCCUCCUAAAUCAUUGCUCCAUCUCGGUGCCUCUUUGUCCCCAACACACACGGAGUCUUGUCUAAUCUUCAACAUGACACUAGUCACCUAUCAAAGAAAAUAGGAAGCCAAGCUGUGUCUCUGAGUGAGGCUGCCCAUAUCCUUGGUUUAGGCUGUUCCUCUUAUGACUCACCCAUAACCUGAACUUCUCUGAUGUAACAAGCUCUUGGAAGUUCUGUUGAACGGACAAAUACUUCCCAGCACAACCUCAGAUGCCCGGACAAUGUACAACAUGCAAAUUGGCAAAGAUCAGAUUAACCCAGCAGAUGUAGAAAAUCUGGGCCUUAAAAAAAAAGCAUACCGGGCUGGAGAGAUGCCUCAGUGGGUAAGAGCACCUGACUGCUCUUCCGAAGGUCCGGAGUUCAAAUCCCAGCAACCACAUGGUGGCUCACAACCAUCCGUAAUGAGAUCUGACUCCCUCUUCUGGAGUGUUUGAAGACAGCUACCGUGUACUUACAUAUAAUAAAUAAAUAAAUCUUUAAAAUUUUUCAUAAAAAUAAAGCAUACCUAGGGCGUGCUUUGACAACUCCUUUGGGACAUUGCUUUUCUGUCAUCCUGAGUCUUUAAGCUAUGAACAUAAGCACAAGAAUCACGGUGCUGAAAGGAGCCUGAAGUGCAAAAACAAGCUGCAACAAGAGAGCCAGCACACCCUGCACUGUUUGCAGAAACUCCCUGGGGACCCAAGGUUACAUAAAACUCAACGGAAAACACAACACACCACCCUCUGCACACUCUUUCUCUACUGUAGAGUUUUAUGAUCGUUGAACGCCUCUUUGCUGCUUGGGAAAUCCAUCUUCCUUGAAGAUGCCUUGACUGUUUUCAUGGGCUCAUGGAGCAAUUCCUUGGGGGUUAACAAGAGGUUAGAGUUCUGUGUUCCAGAACCUCCUGCCUUGAGCCUUAGGCCAAGUGACAUCAGUGGUUCCUGCUCUGAAAAGGUGAAGAUUCUUUCAAUGAAAUAAAAUGAAAGAUCACUUCCGCUUGCUAACAGUGCCUGUGUCCAGGUGAAUCUGUGCAUUGCAUAUCAAGGUUCACCAAUGCAACAACUGACACAAACGUAGUUCAGUUCACAAGUCAUUGGUUAGGGAGGUCCCGGAUAGUCCCCUGAAACAGCACAGGCCAGUGCUCUUGGCUGCCUCUCAAAAGCCUUUAAGAUGUGCUUUGUAGAUGAUUCCACACUUAUUCAAUUCUUUCCUUCCACCUUGUGCAUACAAGGGAUCCAACAUGUCACCAGGCUUAGUGGCAAGUGCCUUUAAAGGGCAUCUCAGAGAGGGGGGGCUCUCUUUUGUUUGUGUGGGGGAAGGGCUUUUACAGAUGGAUUCUAAAAUUUACAUGGAAAGGUAACUAGUGAUUUUGAAGAAAAGUACCUGGUUGAAGAACUUCUAAAGCUGAAAUACCAAAGAUAAGGGAGUAGUGAUGUAAAUACUAAGAGAUAUGCUUUAUUGUUAUUGAGUCGGCAGAUUGAUUUGAAGAGUACUGGUAAAUUUAUAAUAUCAAGACUUCUGACUCAUAAUCACAGUAUAGUUUUCUAGUUCAUUUGGUUUUCUUUCAUGGCUGGAAGGGUGGCUUAGUGGUUAAGAGCACUGGCUGCUCUUCCAGAGGUCCUGAGUUCAAUUAUCGGCAACCACAUAGUGGCUCACAACCAUCUGUAAUGAGAUCAGAUUCCCUCUUCUGACGUGUCUGAAGACAGCAACAGUGUACUCACAUAAAAUAAACAAACAAGUAAAUACAUCUUUUAAAAAAAAACCUAUCACAGUUGCUUGGGGUUUUUCAAUUUUGUUAUUUUGUAUAUGGUUGCUCUGCCUGCAUAUCUGCAUGAUAUGUGUGUGCUGUGCCCUCAGAAGCCAAAAGAAGAUAUUGACUCCUCUGGGGCUAGAGUCACAGAUGGUUGAGAGCUGCCAUGUGGGUCCUGGGGAUUGAACCCUGUUCCUCCAGAAGAGCAGCCCAUGCUCUGAAGCACUGAGCCAUCCUCCAACAUCAGUUCUUAGAGUUUUUACUUAGGUUAUUUUAUUAUUAUUUUUUUUUUUUUAGGCUUUUGACAUAGACAUGCAUCGUCUCUUUCUUCUUGGGAACUGUGCUGAUAGGCCUGCCUGACCUCCCCAUGAAAACAUUAAGAAUAUUUACAUCUGUGUUUAUGAAAGAUCUUGAUCUAUAAUUUACUUUUAGAGUUUUUGUCAGAUUUUAGUACCAGGGUACUUUAGGCUUCAUAAAUUAGUUUCUGAAGAUAUUUGGGCAGACUCAUGAUUCAUCUUUUUAGGUGGUUGGCAGAACUAACAAAGCCAGAGAAACAUUAGCUAUGCUAUUAGUAGGCCACUUCUCCUACAUUUCUUAGAAAUAACCCAAAACCUCAAGUAACUGCUUUCUUGAUUUUUAAUCUUUUAUUCUGUUUUGCAUCCAUUUUAAUUAAAAGGCAUACUUUAUGCCCCUUCCGUUCCCCCCUGGACCUUUCUGCUGGGCACACUGCUAGCUAGUCUGCUCCCCUGGAGACACCAUAUCCUGAGCCAGCCCAAAAGACCCGUUGCACUCUGAGCAUUUGGUAAGAACCCUCUGGAAGUCCCACAGGUGCCACUGGGAGUUCAAUGGACUCGGGACCCAUCACUACCCAACCCUGCCCCCUCCCCACCAAAUACCCCUCCACUUUCCACCCUGUCCUUUCUACUCUGCUCCCCUGGAGACACCAUAUUCUGAGCCAUCCCAAAAGAUCCACUGCCCUCAGGGUAACUGACACCACAGCCUGAGGCAUCCCAGUAGAUCUGCUACAUAGAAGGCAAUCAAUCAGUUGAUUGCCAGCUUGUCUGCUUCCCUGAAGACACCACAGCUUGAAGGCAUCCCAGGAGCUCUUCUGUACACAGGGCAACUGGGCAACAGACACCACAGUCUGAAGACCUCAUAGGGGCUCUCUGGCAUGCAAGGCAACUGAUCCAACAGACUGAAAGCCUCCCUGGAAAUUCUUCUGCACACAGGGAAACAGAAACCACAGUCCAUAGAGCCACCUGGAGAACAUCUUCACACAGGACAACAGCCUGACUACUCCUCUGAAGACCCAACAGUAUAAGGCAACCCAGGAAAUCUAUUGCAGCCAGGGCAGCAGAUCAGCAGCUUCUCUGCCCCUCUGAAGAGCCCCCAGUUAGAAGACACAGAUAGUCUGCUACAGCCAGGGCCACAGGCCUAUCAGGAGACCUGAAGCAACCCAGGGACAAAAGAGGCAGACUCCAGACAGAGUCACCCAGACCAACAAACACUAGGGACAACCAGAUGCAAGAGGCAAGUGCAAGGCCAUAAGCAAUAGAAGUCAAUUUACAUGGGCAUCAUCAGAACCCAGUUCUCCCACCAUAGCAAGUCCUGAAUACACCAACAUAUCUGAAAAUCAGGAAGCUGACCUAAAAUCCUAUCUCAUGAAGAUAAUAGAAUCCUUUAAGGAGGAUAUAAAUAACUCAAUGAAAGAAAUACAAGAAAACUCAGAUUAAACAGGUAGAAGCCCUUAAAGAGGAAACAAAGCCCUUAAAGAAAUACAGGGAAACACAAUCAAACAGGUGAAGGAAUUGAAUAAAUCAGUCCAAGACCUAAAAGUGGAAGUAGAAACAAAAGAGAAAACACAAGUGCAGGCAAACCUGGAAACAGAAGACCUAGGAAAGAGGCCAGAAAUUACAGAUGUAAGUAUCACCAACAGAAUAUAAGAGAUAGAAGGGAGAAUCUCAGGUGUAGAAGAUACCAGAAAAGAGAUUGACAUAACUGUCAAAGGAAAUUCCAAAUAUAAAAACUCCUAACCCAAAGCAUCCAGGAAAUUCAGGACACAAUGAAAAGACCAAAUUGAAGGAUAAUCGGAAUAGAGGAGACUGAAGAUUCCUAGCUCAAAGGACCUGAAAGUGUCUUCAACAAAAUCAUAGAAGAAAAUUUCCCCAACCUAGAAAAAGAGAUGACCAUAAAGGAACAAGAAGCCUACAGAACACCAAAUAAAUGGGACCAGAAAAGAAAAUCCUCUCGUCACAUAAUAAUUAAAACACUAAAUCCACAGAACAAAAAAAGAAUAUUAAAAGUUGCAAGGGAAAAGGGCCAAGGGUAGACCUAUCAGAAUUAUACCAAACUUCUCAACAGAGACUAUGAAAACCAGAACAGCCUGGUCAGAGGUCAGGCAGACUCUAAGAGAACACAAAUGGCAGCCCAGGCUACUAUACCCAGCAAAACUCUCAGUCAACAUAGAUGGAGAAAACAAAAUAUUCCGGGACAAAACCAAAUUCAAACAAUAUCUAUCUAUCAAUCCAGCACUAGUGAAGAU
ensembl:lincRNA A830008E24Rik RIKEN cDNA A830008E24 gene